GAAACAGGAGUUUGGGUGGGAGUUUGAUACCGCGGCUCCACCUCAAGACACUACUGCGCAGAGUCUGGUUCUAAACUAAUUUCUACUGUGCAGACUCUAAAAUGAUGUAAUUUACUCAAGAAGGCAGCGGCCAUACUGAGAUGCUUUGGCUUCACUUUUCUAUAGUGAAAGGAAUAGGAGACGUGUUGUCCAUCUGUUUUUAGUCUAUGGUAGACAGCGAAACCAGAGAUUUUGGCUUGUGGCGUCAGAGAAUGCGCUGUUAUCUCCACCUACUGUAAACUUUUUCAGGUUUCUGAUCGGGGGGCAGGGUUUCAUAUUUUAUUGAAGCAUCCCUGGGCGCCGCCAUUGGCUAGUGGACCCACACCUGCUGUUAGCAUUCCAUUGACUCCCAUUCAUUUUGGAGUCACUUUGACAGCGAAUAACUUUACAUCUGAGGCGUUUAAAGAUUCCAUUUGUCCAUUCAUUAUUUCUAAAGAAACACGAAAAUGUAUAAAAGGCCCCAUUACCUUGUAUCUUACGUUAUGGCCCCGUAGAAGAAGUUUUUGUAAAAAUAGGCUAACGAUUGCGUCAUAACCUGUGACUCUGUCGCACAGUAGAGAAAUUACCGUAUGGACAGGAGGAGAAGCUCGCAGGCAAUCUUUUACUGUCUAUGAGGCAAUCGGGGGGACGUGGAGGCAUGAAGUCAAUGGAGAAGCCCAUAGAGAGUCCAUAAAAGACACAGGACAAAAUUAUUCAACAACGUCUGCAAGAUUUGUUUGAGUCUGCGCAGUACGCUCGACCCCCAGGAAGUGCAUGCUUCUAAUUGACUUCACUUGUCUCCGUUGAAUCCAACGGGGUCGCUGUGUCCAUUUCUUUUACUGUCUAUGCUUCUGAUUGGCUAACAUGGCUUUACAGAUGAGAUUAUAUCACCACCUGUUGGCUUGGCAUGCUCUUAACAGUGCUUCAUAGCAUGCUUUUGUGUUUUCACUUGGACAGAGUUUUUUUUUUUUUUUUUAAUGGAAGAAGGAAAAACUCUGUUUAUAAAAAUACCUGUGUACGUGUAGACAUGGCUCCCUGACUGAGGUGACUGGGACUCCCUGCCAGUGCUGACAACUGGGAUGUUUUUUCAGUUUCCAUUUAUUUUCUGAAUAAUAAAUGGUUGAUCUUCACUUAAAAAAAUAAAAAUAAAAAAAUAAAAUAAAAUAAAAUAAAACAUAGACUGACAUUGUUAUAUAGGUUUCUGUUUAGCAAAAAUACAUAAAAAGUUAACAAAAAACCUAUACUACUUUGCAGUAGCAAUAUUAAACAAAUAUGAAGAAAUAAGAAAAAAAAGUAGAAAAAAUGAAAUUCUGUCACUAUGUACUCACCCUAAUGUCACUCCAAACCC
ensembl:lncRNA